UCUCCGUAGGUGAACCUGCGGAGGGAUCAUUACAGAGUUCUCGCCCUCGCGGGUAGAUCUCCCACCCACUGUUAUCGUUACUGUGUUGCUUUGGCGGGCCGCCGGGCCCCGCUCGGCCGCCGGCUCCGGCUGGCGCGCGCCCGCCAGAGGCCCAGCAAACUCUGAAUGUUAGAGUCGUCUGAGUACUAUAUAAUAGUUAAAACUUUCAACAACGGAUCUCUUGGUUCUG
rnacentral:misc_RNA from 1 species